CGGCUAUAACUCUACAGACCGACCCACGAACCGUGAGAUCAGAAGGAGAUCCAGCGGCCGAAAUUUGAAGGAAAGAAGACCGUUGGAAGGGAAGCGUCGUCUGCUUCAUAAAGGAGAGACGAGAGUUCUCCGAAUCUUCUCUGUAUUCCACACGAUCUCACUUUGAGAGAGAGAGAGAGAGAGAGUUGAUCGAAAUGGCUUCAAGACCCAUCAGGGUUCCAGUGCAAGCGAAAGAUUGAAAGGACUGAUGAGGCCAAUGUGGACCAUUUUAGAAGUGGAAAAAGGCCUCAAUACCCUUGAUGAAAGCUACUGGACAUGGACCAAACCAGGUACACAGUUCCUAACUUCUUUAACGUUCCAUGAAUAGCUCAGAUUCGCAACAUUUUGAUACUGCAAUGUUAGUAGUAGUACAAUUGCAAAGAGUCUUUAGUUUGGAAUCGGGUACGCUGGGUGACAUUUUGAUACUGCAUCGCAUGUCUAUCAUAUGUUUUCUUUAAUUUGUUGCAACUGUUUUGCGAGUUUUUUU